GUGCACCAGCGUCCAAAUCUUGCCUUUGGCAUUUCCCUGUACGUUAGCGAUGAUCCGCGAGGUAGCAAUGUGUGCAACACCAUGGCGCGCCAAGUUCCCUGAUCAGGAGGCGCGGCGGGU
rnacentral:sRNA from 12 species